rnacentral:rRNA from 1 species
GCAAAUAUGGGCGCAGCCUGAUCAGCCAUGCCGCGUGUGUGAAGAAGGCCCUCGGGUUGUAAAGCACUUUCAGUGGGGAAGAAAUCCUCGGGGCUAAUACCCUCGAGGGAGGACAUCACCCACAGAAGAAGCACCGGCUAACUCCGUGCCAGCAGCCGCGGUAAUACGGAGGGUGCGAGCGUUAAUCGGAAUUACUGGGCGUAAAGCGCGCGUAGGCGGCCUGAUAAGCCGGUUGUGAAAGCCCCGGGCUCAACCUGGGAACGGCAUCCGGAACUGUCAGGCUAGAGUGCAGGAGAGGAAGGUAGAAUUCCCGGUGUAGCGGUGAAAUGCGUAGAGAUCGGGAGGAAUACCAGUGGCGAAGGCGGCCUUCUGGACUGACACUGACGCUGAGGUGCGAAAGCGUGGGUAGCAAACAGGAUUAGAUACCCUGGUAGUCCACGCCGUAAACGAUGUCGACUAGCCGUUGGGGUCCUUGAGACCUUUGUGGCGCAGUUAACGCGAUAAGUCGACCGCCUGGGGAGUACGGCCGCAAGGUUAAAACUCAAUAAAAUUUUGACGGA